UUUUUAUUUUUAUUUUUUAUUUUUUUUUGGAAUUUUAGUUUUUAAAAAUGCUAAAGGUCUGUGUAUAUUGUGUCAUUGUCAUAUAUUCAUAACUGAGAACUGACUUCUCUGUUUCCAUUUCCAUAAUUUUUUCAUGUUUCAUAAAAUUUACUUUUUAAAAAAGAUUUAUUUAUUUUAGAGAGAAGGAGAGCACGUGAGUGGCGGGGAGAGGCAGAGAGGGGGAAAUAAGCAGACUCCCCUGCUAAGUGCGGAGCCUGACCCCAGGAUGCUGAGCUCAUGACCUGAGCCGGAACCGAGAGUCAGACACUAUACCUACUGAGCCUCUUAGGUGCACCUUCAUAGAAUUUACUUUUAAGGACAAAGAGAGUUGUUCUCUUAAAACUACACAUUUUGAUCACGUUCUACUCCUUUCUAAAAGCUCCCAUUCAGGGUAUCUCGAAUCAGUUCAGAACGCCUGAAUGUUCACAUCAAGGCUUUCCAGCAUUUGUCUAUAUUGCUUCCCAGUUCCCUCUUCUAACCCCAGUCUUUGUGUCUAUUAAGCGAAGUUUGUCCUUUGAAAAAUGUACACUUCUCUCUGACACAUAAGAUUCACAUUCUCUGUUUAGUCUUUUUUGAUAAGCCUCGCUUGGUUUGGUGUCAGCCCCCAUUGCCCUAACCAUCCUUCAGCAUUCAAGUGCAGGACCUCUCCAACAUCUGAAAUUUAUUCUGCAUAUUUUAUAAGUCUGUUAAUAUAUAACUGCAUACUUUAAUUAUCCUAUUUUUUCUUCUGAGUCAUCUUUUCAACUAGCCACCCCCUCAAGGAAGGCAUUCGGUAUCUUUAGAACAUUCAAUAAGCUAGUAUAAUGACCCCAUAGGUAAAGAAGGUGAUGCAUAUCAUCAGGGCAGAUCAGAGAAUCCAAUUAGAAUGGUGAACUGGAAAAAGACAUCAAAGAAGUAAGUAAAGAUAGAAGACAGAAAAACACUGCACCUUACGAAGACCAUCAGGUUACACUCCUGUAAGGGGUGACUUAUGGGAUCUUUCCACUUUGAUUCCUCAGUGUUUAAUUCUAUUUGCAAAAUAGGUAUUUUCAGUUUUUUCAUUCACUCUCUAGCUGAUCUCAUCAGUUCAAUAGCUUUAAAUACUUCUCUCUUGAAUUUGAGACUCAUAGAUCUAUUCACUUACUCCAUAUAUCUUCAUUUGGAUGUGUCCCUUGGGCAUCUCAGACUCAAUAGAGCCAAAACCAAACCUUGAUCCCCACCUCCCCAACUGGCUCCACUCUAUUUCAGUAAAUGGCAAUUCCAUCCUUCUAAAAACUCUGACUUUGACUUGUCCCUCACACUUCAUAUUCAAUCUAUCAUCAAAUUUUGUUGGUUGGCUCUACCUUCAAAAUAUAUCUAGAAUAUAAUUGCUUCCCACCAUCCCCACAGACAUUAUCUUGGUCUAGGCCAACAUCAUCUUCCACUUGGAUUAUCACAAUAGCUUCCUAAUUGUUUUCCUGACUUCCAUUCUCAAACCCUUAGAGUCUGUCUACAAAAAAGCUAGCCUGCUCAGUUCAAAAGGAAAGCCAUACCAUGUCACACCUCUGCUUAAAAUCCUCUACUUCUCAUUUCAUUCUAAAUAACAUCCAAAGUUCUUCACAUGAAAUUCAAAACUCAACAGCUGGGCAGCCCGGGUGGCUCAGCGGUUUAAUACUGCCUUCAGCCCAGGGCCUGAUCCUGGAGACCUGGGAUCGAGUCCCACGUCGGGCUCCCUGUGUGGAGCCUGCGACUCCCUCUGCCUGUGUUUCUGCCUCUCUCUCUCUCUGUCUCUCAUGAAUAAAUAAAUAAUCUUAAAAAAAAAAAAAACUCAACAGCUUUGUUACACAUAUCUUUGAUCUCAUCUUCUAACAUACCCCCCCUUGCUAAUUCAGCUCCAGCCACAAGGGGUUCCUUCCUGUCCCUGAUUAUGCCAAGCACUUUACCUGAUUAGCAUUACCCCACUGUCACUCGUCACCAACCCUGCUUUAUUUUCUAAACAGCGCCUACCAUUACCUGACAUUUGUUGUCUUAUCCCACUAGAAACUCCUUGACAGCUGAAUGUUCUGUUCACUGCUUUUCCUCAACACCUAGAACAGUGCUCCUGUAUGCAGCAGUAAUAAUUUCUAGGUAUGAAAUUCAAAGGGCUUUUCACUUCAUUAAAAACAAGCAAGCAAACAAAAGCCUAUUUUGGUUGCUCAGACAAUCUUAAAAUAACCAAAAUGCUUCUAGAAUGAAGCUAGAUUCCACAGCAUCCAUCAGGAAUUACAACUAUGGGAAAUGGUGAACGACAAUAUUCACACAUGCAAUCCUUUCAGAUGCAUCAGAAUCAUAAGCACAUGACAAGGAUCAUGUGCCCAAUUAAAUGAAUAUUCUUGUUACAUAUUCACCAGCUAGUAAACAGAUGUUGACCCAGAGCAGACUGUCCUGAUGACUCUGCUAGGAAGAAAGAGGUGACAUCACUGGAGAACUCAAGGCAUAUGCUCAGGCAGGUGACACACGUACUCACAGCCUAGACUGUGAUUGCUGAACUCCAUGCUGACUGCCAAAGAAAUUUGUCUCAUGACCAACUCUCAGGGGAAUUCUCUCAGCCUGACAGUCACCUCUAAGUCCUCUGUAGUUAAGGUUAAGGGGUCUCUUUGUGAUCAGUGAGAUGUUAUGCUUCUCAAAUGUCUAUUUGUGAUACAUGUGCUUACAUGUUUAGUCAAACGUUUAUUUAUUCAUGAAAAAAGGAAGGAAAUAGGGUUUUGUUUAAAUUCCAUUUCUAGGUCCAAGGCCACCUGUUUUGGCUGUCUCCAAUACUGAACCCCCGGCUUGUCAUCAGAACCUCUCCCCACACAGGCCCCUCAAAUUAGCCACACCCUCCAACCUGUUACCACUCCAAACAAUACUCCCCAAACUGUCAAUGCGCUAAACAGAUCUCCCCCACCCCGCCAUUAUCGACCAUCAGAGACCCCUCGUCUGUCACUCAUGCUCCAAAAUUCCCGACACCGAGACUUCCCUCAUGAAAAGCCCUCUGAGCGCCCUAUCCUAUCAGCCAGACCCCCAAACUCCUCUUCCCGUUACCAACGUCCGCCGAGACCCGGUUCCUGUUAGCAGUUCCCGACAGCAUCCCCUUCCCCGUCACCGAAACCCCUCCUGGACUGCCGGUGGCCAACGUCAUCAGCCCCACUUCCUCGUAGCCUCGCCUCGCCCC
rnacentral:lncRNA from 1 species